AUCAUGAAGAACGCCCCCCCCCCCCCGUCCCAAGCCAUGCUGAGCCCAUCCACGGCACCCACAGAGCCCAAAACGGGUUGACUUACCUUUCCAUAAUGUCAGCUUUCUCAGAAUCGUGAUAGCGAGUGAAGCCGCAAAGUGUGAAGUGCAAAGUGGCAAGGGAUUAUCGUAUGUGUCUCGAGGGCCUGCCUGUGAGCAUCAAACAUGAGAAAGAUCAUGAGAAGAGGCGCUGGAGGAAAACCCUCCGCCCAUAUGGACAUGAUCCAACCCUGGCUAGAUGAGUAUGCCCGCCACUUCAUGAUAAACAGGCUUCGUGACACAUCUUAAAAUACGCAAGUAUUCUCAGAGCAUUCCAUCGACCACAACUGGACUGUUCAGGUUCUUUUAGAAGCAAGCUUCAUCCGUUCAUGCUCAAAACUAGGUGGGACACACGCCAGGCAGACUAGAUAGGGCAGCUCAAGUCUGAGAGCUUGGUGCAAGCUCUAAAGGAGGAGGUGGUAUGGGUGGUAUCACCUUCAUUACAUGUACCGUAAUGAUGGUCAUGGAUCCAUCUGAAACCAAGGUGCACCCAACCAUGCACCCACGACCCCCAUCCAGAUAUGGCAUCCCUCACUCUUUGAAAGCAUCCUUCUUCCCUGUCCAGAAUGUGUACAUUUUUGUUGUCAAAAGAGUGCUCUUUCUCUCUGAGGUGCAGGCAGACUGCAGAGUCUUGACCUGAAGAGUUAGCCCGUCCGUGUUGUGCCACGCGCCUGCUUGGACAGCAUACACCAGAUUGUUGUUCUGGGUAUGGGGUGUCCUGUCUUUGGGCCUCCAGUUCAUCCAUUCCAGAAAGCCAAAAAUGAAGGCUCCAAACCGCUGCUGUCAUGAACUAAAAAAGGCCCAAAUCCCUUUUUUGAAUCCCUUUUUCAGCUCGAAAUGCACUCCAGCUCAAAGAAACUCCUUGAAGGGUGGCAGGUGUAAGCCGGAGCCUACCCCAGCUGACUUUUGGCGAGAGGCAGGGUCCGCCCUGGACUGGUUGCCAGCCAAUCGCAGGGCACAGAUGUUCCAGAUCUCCUGACGCCGUGGCCAACAUGCUAACCACGAGGCCACCGUGCGGCGGAUCUGGAACCAAUUAACUGCAAUGAACGAGGGGUUACUUUAAAUGUCCCUUCUGUGUUCUGUGUACAGUAGAUCCGCCGCGGGGCGGCGGCGUCGUUGCUGCUUUUUCGGGAUGCAGGAAUCUUUGGUGACGGGGAUGCCGAGGGUACAGCUCACAGACGGAGGGUCUGAAUGUUUGCCUCUCGAGAUGACGGCCAGGGGGGUCACCUCUGACCCUCCAGGAGGGUCGUCACCAAGGUGACGCACAGCAGCCAUAUAUGCACGCAGGUGCGGGGGGCCGUGGAGUUCCGGUCUGGAAGGAAAACAGUGUCAGACCGAUACCAGCAACUCAACAACAAUAGUAGCAAUGUAGCACUUGGAUAUGCCUAUUUACCAUGGUAACCAUGGUAACCACGUUUACCACACUUCCUUUUUAUUACUUGUACCGUGAAACAUUUGAUAAAGACAGGAACAUAAAAUCAAUGUUUUUACAGCCGUCACCAAAUAAUGUAGCUCUCUUUGUAUGGUUAUUUAUGAAGUAUCUCUGCACCAUCUGGUGGAUUUUUGGUCAAACAACUUUGCUGGAAGUCUUUGUCCAGCAUUCGAGAGUCAGUGAAUGUCGAGUCUUUGUCAAGUACCGUGUGAGUCAGUGAAAAUUCCAGUCUACCUGUGAGUCGGUGAAACUCGAGUCUUCAUUUACCACCCGUGAAUAACUUUUUGUCGAGAACCCGUGAGUGAUUGAAGCUCAAGUCUUCAUCCAUCACCCGUGAGUCAGUGAAAGUCGAGUCUUCGUCAAAUACCCCGUUAGCCAGUGAAACUCAAGUCUACCUGUAAGUGAGUGAAACCCAAGUCUUCAUCACGCACCCGUGAAUCAGUGAAACCCGAGUCUUCGCUGAGCUCGUAUCAGUCAGUGUAACUCGAGUCUUUGUCCAGCACCUGUGAGUCAGUGAAAUUCGAGUCUUCAUCGAGCCCCAAUGAGUAAGUGAAACUAAAGUCCUCAUUGAGCACCUGUGAGUCAGUGAAACUCGAGUCUUUGUCCAGCAUUCGUGUGUUAGUGAAAGACGAGUCUUCGUCAAGUACCCUUUGAGUAAGUGAAACUCAAGUCUACCUGUGAGUCAGUGUAAGUCGAGUCGUCGUCGAGCACCAGUGAGUCAGUGAAGGCCGAGUCUUCAUGAAGGAGGGUUUAUGCGAGGCAAGGACCGGAUCUGGUGCUUUUUCCAGGCGGCUACUGCCUUCAUACAAAUGCAGUUAGAGUCAAGAGUCAAUGACAUGUCACCUGGUUUCCGUUUGUAAGCUGGUGGUAG